rnacentral:rRNA from 1 species
UACAGAGGUGCCAAGCGUUGUUCGGAUUCAUUGGGCGUAAAGGGUGCGUAGGCGGCGCGGUAAGUCGGGUGUGAAAUCUUGGAGCUUAACUCCGAAACUGCAUUCGAUACUGCCGUGCUUUGAGGACUGGAGAGGAGACUGGAAUUUACGGUGUAGCGGUGAAAUGCGUAGAUAUCGUAAGGAAGACCAGUGGCGAAGGCGGGUCUCUGGACAGUUCCUGACGUGAGGCACGAAGGCCAGGGGGAGCAAAACGGG